CUGACACUGAGCUACUGAUUGAAAUGUUUGGAUUGAGGACCUUUACAAACCUAUCUGUUGGGCAGAUAACUUUGUCAAGACUUUAAGAUUGCCUUAAUUGGGGUCCUCUCCGAAGAAGGCGCUGACCCAAGGGUUCAAGAGCAAGCACUUUGUUAAUGGAGAAACUCCCAGAAACCCAGGUGGUGGGCACGAGAGAGGAAAAGCGAGGAAGCUAGGGAAGAUAUGCUCUCAGGCCAGUUUCUCAGACACAACUGUGGGAUCCACGGCUUCAGAAAUAUCCCGCCGGAGGGGAGUCACAGAU